AACGAACGCUGGCGGCGUGCUUAACACAUGCAAGUCGAACGGAAAGGCCCUUUCGGGGGUACUCGAGUGGCGAACGGGUGAGUAACACGUGGGUGAUCUGCCCUGCACUUUGGGAUAAGCCUGGGAAACUGGGUCUAAUACCGAAUAGGACCGCAUGCUUCAUGGUGUGUGGUGGAAAGCUUUUGCGGUGUGGGAUGGGCCCGCGGCCUAUCAGCUUGUUGGUGGGGUAAUGGCCUACCAAGGCGACGACGGGUAGCCGGCCUGAGAGGGUGUCCGGCCACACUGGGACUGAGAUACGGCCCAGACUCCUACGGGAGGCAGCAGUGGGGAAUAUUGCACAAUGGGCGCAAGCCUGAUGCAGCGACGCCGCGUGGGGGAUGACGGCCUUCGGGUUGUAAACCUCUUUCAGUAUCGGCGAAGCUCCGGGAUUUUUCUUGGGGUGAUGGUAGGUACAGAAGAAGCACCGGCCAACUACGUGCCAGCCGCCGCAGUAA
rnacentral:rRNA from 1 species